GUACAGAGCUGAGAGACGCACAUUCUAGCCAAUCGGAUGCGUCUAAUUAGAUCACGUGAUCAGGUGAAGGCGCUAAUGAAGUCUAAUGACGUCACGUGGCUAAGUAGGAGCUGUUUGUUUGUAACCGCGCAGCAGACGGAAAUAUCAGAAUGAGUUUGAUGAAAAUGGAGCAGAAGUGUGAAGAAAGAGGAAAGACAAAGCAGUGGAAGGUGGAAAGUGGAAAGCUGUCAGUGUUUGGAUCAUUUGGUGCUUCUGGUACCUGGUCUCUCUCUCUCUCUCUGCUCCUGGAAUUGCACUCAGGACCUCCGUACACUAGGGGGCGGGGUACUGAUUAAUCAUAGACCCGGAAUCCAUCGGCAAACUCGGAGGAGAAGAAGAGCGGCAAGAAACUGCGCUACCAAGAACCUCCAGAACCUCCACGCAAACCUCUAUGUUACACAGGAGCUGGUGGAGGAACCGGUGAUGAGUACUGACACACCUUCACACCAUCUCCUCCUCCUCCUCCUCCUCCUCAUCAGCAGCGAUUCUUCAGGGAAGGUUAUGGAUACGUUUUCUUCCUGAACAUCCCAGUGUUCCUUUACACACACACUCUCACACACACUCUCACACACACACACACACACACACACACACACACACACACACUCACACACACACUCACACACACACACACACACACACACACUCACUCUUUCUCUCUCUUCAGGACUUCGCUCUGAGAAGAUCAGGAGGUAAAACCUAUAUUUUUAAUGGUUCUAAUAUUUUGUCCACCACACGAACCAAAAUUGAGACGAAUCUUACAAAUUCUGAUGACCUUUGACCUCUGAACACGAACACACACACACACACACACACACGCACCACAUACAAUAUAAAAUUAAAUACAACAAUAUAAAAUACUAUUGUUAUUGUUAUUAGUAGUAAUAUUAGUAUUCGUCUUAUCAUUAUUAUUAUUAAUAAUAAUAUAAGCAGUAUUGUUAAUAAUAAUAAUAAUUUAUUAGUAGUAGUAUUUGGCGUUGUUGGUGUUAUUACUGUUAUAAUUGUUUUUUGUUGUAUUAUUAUUAUUAUUAUUAUUAUUAUCAUCACUCCAUUGGGAAAGUCCUGAUAAAAGCAUCUUUAUCUGUGAUCAGUGAACAAACACACUGUUCUUAGAGUCAGAGUUAAUGUAACUCACCGGGUAUUCACCUCCUAACAGCCAAGAAUAGACACACACACACACACACACACACACACACACACACACACUUGCCCAACAGCAAUAAAACACGACACACAGGGACCUCUCAGGUCCAGAAAAACACACAAACGAUAUCAGUCUCAGAGAGAAAAACACACGCACACACACACACACACACACACCUGGGCAUUAAACAACACUCCAGAUAUAAAUGUGCUACUGUGGUGUUAAUUUUUGAUGCUUAUUUCCUACAACUAUUGUUUACUUUGAGUUUACUUUAAA